rnacentral:rRNA from 1 species
AUGGCGAUGAAGCGCAAGUUGUCCCCCACAGAGGCUGACCUCGCCGCGGACGACCACCACCAGCCCGACACCGCCAGCGUCACGACGGCGACAGGGCCGGAACCAUGGGCAGCGACGGUCGGCGCCGCGGCGGCUGCACAGCGGGCUCGGAAGCGCUUCGUGGGCGUCCGGCAGCGGCCGUCGGGGCGGUGGGUGGCGGAGAUCAAGGACACCAUCCAGAAGAUCCGGGUGUGGCUCGGCACCUUCGACACCGCCGAGGAGGCUGCCCGCGCCUACGACGAGGCCGCGUGCCUCCUCCGCGGCGCCAACACCCGCACCAACUUCUGGCCCCGCGCAGCCGCCCCCGCGGCCGCCUCGGACGGCCACGGCGGGGCAGGGUUGGCCGAGAACCAUGGCCACCUCCACCACCACACGCCGCCGCCAUCGGCUCUCCCCUCCAAGGUCACCAACCUCCUCCUCCUCCGCCUCAAGAGAGCGCGCAGCAUCAGCGACGAACACCACAUUAGUGCAAGUGCCACUGCGCAAGAAGCACUUGGGCAGCAGCAGCAAGACCAAGAGGAGUACGGCGCCGGCAACUUCCACGUCGACGACUUCCUCAGCUACGACUCGAACGUCGACGAGCAUGGCGUCGUGAAAUACGAGGAGGACUUCCAUUGCCCUCGAGACGCGGAUGAUGAGGAAGAGGAUGUGUCCGAGGAGGAGGAAGAAGCGCCUCUGGACUUCGGGUUCAUGGACGCGCACCCGUCUCCCCCAGGGGACGUCGGCGACGCGGGGCUUUUCGCACCGUUCGAGAUGAUGGCGGCGGAGAUCGGCGGGGCGGUGGAGGCGGAGGCAGAGGCUUCGGAGUACGGCGGUGGCGAGAACGAGAACUCGGCGGCAAUCCACGAGGUGAUGAAGAGAAUGAAGUACGAGCGGAAGAUCUCUGCCUCGCUCUACGCGCUCAGCGGCGUGCCCGAGUGCCUCCGCCUGCGCCUAGGCAACUCCGGCGCCGUCGGCCACGGGCUGGCGCUCUCCGGUCUCAGGGAUGCGUGCAUGAGGAAGCGGCAGGAACAAAAUCAAGAAGCGGUGGUAGAUUGCGUUGAGGGAGGCCACGAGGAAAGCUCGAGCAGCAACAGCAGCUCGUCGUCUGAGGUAGCGAGCUGUUCGCCGGAGGCGGUGAUCUCGUCGCCGAACGCCGAUGCCGUCGACAGCGAUGUGGUGAUGUGGAGCUCCUUUGACCUGGCUCUCAUCUGCUUCAUGUCAUAA